rnacentral:rRNA from 1 species
GACGAACGCUGGCGGCGUGCCUAAUACAUGCAAGUAGGACGCAGUUGCGAACGGGUGAGUAACGCGUAGGUAACUAAAUAUGAGAGGGGGAUAAAUAGUGGAAACGAUAGCUAAUACCGCAUACUAGUAGAUGGAACUGCGUUGUAUUAGCUAGUAGGUAGUGUAAUGGCCUACCUAGGCAACGAUACAUAGCCGACCUGGGAGGGAGAUCGGCCCACCCGGGACUGAGACACGGCCCAGACUCCUACGGGAGGCAGCAGUAGGGAAGCUUCGGAAAUGGGGGGAACCCUGACCGAGCAACGCCGCGUUAGUGAAGAAGGUUUUCGGAUCGUAAAGCUCUGUUGUUAAGGAAGCGGUACUUAACCAGAAAGGGACGGCUAACUACGUGCCAGCCGCCGCGGUAAUUC